rnacentral:rRNA from 1 species
GUGGGGAAUUUUGGACAAUGGGCGAAAGCCUGAUCCAGCCAUAUCGCGUGCAGGAUGAAGGCCUUCGGGUUGUAAACUGCUUUUGUACGGAACGAAAAGACUCUGGUUAAUACCUGGGGUCCAUGACGGUACCGUAAGAAUAAGCACCGGCUAACUACGUGCCAGCAGCCGCGGUAAUACGUAGGGUGCAAGCGUUAAUCGGAAUUACUGGGCGUAAAGCGUGCGCAGGCGGUUAUAUAAGACAGAUGUGAAAUCCCCGGGCUCAACCUGGGAACUGCAGUGGUGACUGUAUAGCUAGAGUACGGCAGAGGGGGAUGGAAUUCCGCGUGUAGCAGUGAAAUGCGUAGAUAUGCGGAGGAACACCGAUGGCGAAGGCAAUCCCCUGGGCCUGUACUGACGCUCAUGCACGAAAGCGUGGGGAGCAAACAGGAUUAGAUACCCGUGUAGUCC